AGUGAGGUCACUUUACAAGUUCCAAGAUCAUCCUCAGCACACACUGACAACAUGCUGGGGACCCUCUGUACUCUCAUCACUGCUCUAACAUGUGUGAGUGGUGUGACGGUGGUGACACAGAAGCCUCCUGUUCUGACGGUGAGGAAAGGAGAGACAGCCACCAUGGACUGUAACCUGGGGACUGUUACUGACCAAAGUGCUCGGUGGUACAGACAGAUCCCAGGAGAAGUUCCUCUCUAUAUGCUGAGGUUCCGUCAUGACUGGAGUUCCCCCGAAUAUGACACUGGGUUCCCUUCUGCAAGACACACAUCCACUCAUCAGUCAACAUCAGAUUACCGUUUGAUUAUCAGCAGUGUGGAAGAAGGAGACUCUGCAGUUUACUACUGUCACACAUGGGACGGCUCUGUUAAAGAGCACGCAUCACAGUGAUUUAUGCCGUGACAAAAACCCUAACACAAACACUUCUGCUUUUUGAGUAAAAGAGGCAUAGACUGUCCAAGAGGCGCACAUUACAUUUGGCCUCAGUAACCAACUGGUAAUAUUUCAGUUACUGCAUUUUGAGCUUUUAACUUUUGUUGGUUCAUAAAUAUAAAGGGUGUUAAACAGCCAGGCUCCUUCCCUUUCACCUCUUGUUCCAGGUAUCAGGCAAUAUUUUUUCCUUGUUUAAACCCUGGUC